rnacentral:rRNA from 1 species
AUGCGCUCCCUCUCCGAUGAGCUCGCGGCGGCGGGCAAACCACUCGGGGAGGGGGAGCUCAUCUCCUUCAUCGUCGCGGGCUUGGACGUGGACUACCAGCCAAUCAUCUCCGCCCUCGACGUGCACACUGAACCGGUCACCAUCGACGCGCUCUUCUCCCUGGUGGCGAACUUCGAUCAGCGGAUCGAGAUGUUCCAUGGCGGUGGUGCUGGUGGCUUCAAGUCAUCGGCAAACGCUGCUUCCAGGGGUCGUCCAAAUGCCGGAAAGGGAGGUUACCGCAACCAGAAGGGCGGCAGUGGCGGUGGCCCUCGAGGAAACGGCGAUGGCUACGGUGCUCCCGGUGGCGGCAACUACGGCGCCGGUGGAGGAGGCUACAACGCCGUUGGUGGCGGCGGCUACCACACAGGCGGCGGUUCUGGUGGUGGCUACCAUCAGAACAAUGGAGGAGGAGGCCACUAUGGUGGUGGUGGUGGCGGUCACUAUCACCAGAACCCCUCUGGUGGCGGCAACAACACUCGGCGCCCUCCCAACAACAACAACAGGGGGCGUCACUUCCAAGGGUAUGAUGGUUAUGAGGGACGAUGCCAAAUCUGUAAGAAAACAAAUCAUCUUACAAAGGAUUGUGAUUGGCGCUAUGCUGAUGAUCCUAACUCCCAAAGCAAGAAAAUUGCAGCUGCAGCUGAUGUGUCCUAUGGUGUCGAUACCAAUUGGUAUAUGGACACAGGCGCCACAAAUCAUAUCACUGGUGAAUUGGAGAAGCUGACAAUGCAUGAAAAAUACCGUGGCCAUGAUCAAGUCUACACCGCCGCCAAUGGGGCAGGAUCAGGUCACGAAGAAAGUUCUUCAUAG